AGAGUUUGAUCAUGGCUCAGAGCGAACGCUGGCGGCAGGCUUAACACAUGCAAGUCGAGCGGGCGUAGCAAUACGUCAGCGGCAGACGGGUGAGUAACGCGUGGGAACAUACCUUUUGGUUCGGAACAACACAGGGAAACUUGUGCUAAUACCGGAUAAGCCCUUACGGGGAAAGAUUUAUCGCCGAAAGAUUGGCCCGCGUCUGAUUAGCUAGUUGGUGAGGUAACGGCUCACCAAGGCGACGAUCAGUAGCUGGUCUGAGAGGAUGAUCAGCCACAUUGGGACUGAGACACGGCCCAAACUCCUACGGGAGGCAGCAGUGGGGAAUAUUGGACAAUGGGCGAAAGCCUGAUCCAGCCAUGCCGCGUGAGUGAUGAAGGCCCUAGGGUUGUAAAGCUCUUUUGUGCGGGAAGAUAAUGACGGUACCGCAAGAAUAAGCCCCGGCUAACUUCGUGCCAGCAGCCGCGGUAAUUC
rnacentral:rRNA from 1 species